AGAAACAACUGUCAUUUUUUGCUUUACAGGCAGUUUUAUACAAUAAAACAUCCACAGGGGGAAAAAAACAUCAACAGCUUUCGGCCCUAAGAGUCUUUAUACUGUUACGUACAGAAACCUUGAGAAGAAAGAGACACAGGAAGUCAUAGUUUCCUCACCGCUCCUACGUGUUACACACUUUCUGAUGAAGCCGCCAUUAAACAUCCACUUGGAGCUGCUGAACAGUGGAUUAACUGAGUCUUGUGGUCCUCAACCUGUCCUGUAAACACACACACAUAGUAAACACACACACACGCAUGCACGCACGCACGCACACACACACACACACAUAGUACACACACACACGCACGCACACACACACACACACACACGCACCAGCCCAUUUCCAGCCCCGUGAUGGACUCACACACCAGCGUAAAGGUACAGACGCACAAACACAAGCGCCACACAGAACGCCAUGCAUUCAUCUUUACAAUGCGGAUGAUGUUAU